UACGAGGGGGGCGAGCGUUGUUCGGAAUUACUGGGCGUAAAGGGCGCGUAGGCGGCUAGGCAAGUCAGAUGUGAAAGCCCCGGGCUUAACUCGGGAAUUGCAUCUGAAACUGCUGGGCUUGAGUUCUGGAGGGGGUAGUGGAAUUCCCAGUGUAGCGGUGAAAUGCGUAGAUAUUGGGAGGAACACCUGCGGCGAAGGCGGCUACCUGGACAGAAACUGACGCUGAGGCGCGAAAGCUAGGGGAGCGAACGGG
rnacentral:rRNA from 1 species